GUUAGAUAUUCAACUGAGUUAUCUGACCAUCUACAAAAAUCUAUAUUUAUAAUUUCUGCUGGAAGCAAUGAUUACAUCAACAACUUUCUCCAACCUCGGUUUUAUGACAGUAGCAAGUUCUACCAACCUAAGCCUUUUGCUGAACACCUCAUAGAAAAUUUUUCGCAGCAACUUAAAGUAAGAAUAAAUCUCUUAUAAAAAGUUUUAAAUUGCACCAGGGGUUAUUUUACGUCACAUUAAUAUUUUCUAAAAGCACUGCUAGAAAAAAAAUCAAAUUAGCAACAUAAAACCUCACUUUAAACAUUAAAGGUGCAAAAUUGGGAAUUUGGCUUUGCUGCCGAAAUCAAUUCAACACACUCACCAAGUCAGCAUGCUAUUGAUCGUUGGAUCGAAAUUGGAUGAUUCAUAUUUUCAAGAUCGGUAUUUAAGUUUGUCUGAUCUCGAUUCAACAACUACCAAUGUGGUGAUUGCGUGAAUGACUGACUACAACAAUAUGCAUUAAAGUUUUUAUUUUCAUAAAUGGUCUAUUUCAUAUUAUGUUUCACCUUUUCUUGAAAUUAUUACAAUUGCUAGACAUUGUAUGCGUUGGGAGCUAGGAAGAUAGUAGUGUUUGAGAUUGGACCUAUAGGGUGCAUACCAGCAAUUUCUAGGACACAUGAACACACAGGUGAAUGCAUGGAAGAAGCAAACAAAAUGGCACUUUACUUCAACGAAAAGCUCUCUGCAAUGCUAAAAAAUCUCACAUCCAGUCUUCCAGGCUCUACCUUUGUUCUUGGUCAAUCAUACUCCAUAAUCAUCGAUCUCUAUAAAAAUCCAUCCAUAUAUGGUCUAAUAGAUGGUAGGAAUCCAUGUUGCACUACUUGGCAACAUGGAACUUCAGCAUGUAUCCCUUUCUUAAGACCAUGCAUGAAUCCAAGUAAACAUAUCUUUUGGGAUGCUUUUCAUCUUACAGAAGUUGUAUAUUCAGUCGUAGCAUCACGAUGUUUCAGGAAUAGCUCUUCAUGCUCACCGGUCAGCAUUCAAGAGCUUGUCAAAAUAUAAUUGUGUUAAACACCGACUAGUAACAAAGGAAUAAAAGAAACGAUAAUGGGAAUACACCGAGGCAUGAUCUUUGUUAAUUACGGGGUUCGACCAAUAAUGGUUCCUUUCUCUACGAUUAUAGAGCAGCUAUAGUUCCGUAUAUUUGAAAAAUAUGGGAGGCGCACAAUAGGACUAUCUUCUCUUCAAAGACUUCAGAUGUGGAAGAUAGUUGAUGAUAUCAAAGAUGUCUCAUGGAGGGACUUGUAUGUAUUUUGAAUGGUUUUCGAAGCCUCUUCUUUACCUUAAUCUUUAAUAUAGGGUGUUUAUUUUGUCUGAGCCGAGUACCCCUUGUACUUUUUCCGAUUUAUGUGUUAAAUAUUCUUUGUACUUUUCCCCAUUCUAUCUAAUAAAUUUUGAUGUUAAAAAAAAUCUGUAUAUUAUUUCUUGAGUGAAAUUGGAGCAGGUGGUGAUAUUUGU